AUUGAACGCUGGCGGCAGGCCUAACACAUGCAAGUCGAGCGGAUGAAGGGAGCUUGCUCCUGGAUUCAGCGGCGGACGGGGGAGUAAUGCCUAGGAAUCUGCCUGGUAGUGUGGGAUAACGUCCGGAAACGGGCGCUAAUACCGCAUACGUCCUGAGGGAGAAAGUGGGGGAUCUUCGGACCUCACGCUAUCAGAUGAGCCUAGGUCGGAUUAGCUAGUUGGUGGGGUAAAGGCCUACCAAGGCGACGAUCCGUAACUGGUCUGAGAGGAUGAUCAGUCACCCUGGAACUGAGAAACGGUCCAGACUCCGACGGGAGGCAGCAGUGGGGAAUAUUGGACAAUGGGCGAAAGCCUGAUCCAGCCAUGCCGCGUGUGUGAAGAAGGUCUUCGGAUUGUAAAGCACUUUAAGUUGGGAGGAAGGGCAGUAAGUUAAUACCUUGCUGUUUUGACGUUACCAACAGAAUAAGCACCGGCUAACUUCGUG
rnacentral:rRNA from 1 species